AUGAUUCUUGUACAAGGUACAAGUCUAUUAAGCAUAUUCCUACUAGUUCAUCAUCACACAACAAUCACAUCCCUUUGAAUUUACAUAGAUUUUUCAUCCUAAAUCAGUUUGUCUAGCAUUCAAGUAUUACAAACAAAAUCAUAUAUCAAACUAUCACAUAAUCAUAAUCAUCAUAAGCUUCCUAUUCAUAACACAAUCUUUACAAAGUGGGUUUUUACUACACCUUUCAUACAAUCUAAAUUCAAGCAUGAUUCUUGUUCUAAAACGCAAUUCUACUCAGAUUUAUCAUAUUUGACACAAGAAAUCGAGAUUGGGUUUAACCCCUCAUUCUACAAAUCAUAAUUUCAGAAAAUUAAACUCACCACUUCACUAGUUAGGGUUAGAUUUUCGAAAAAGAGGACCCAUGCA
rnacentral:lncRNA from 1 species